AACCCAGGGCCAUUGGGUCCAUUUACAAAUGGCCAAGGUGGGCUCUGGGACAGGUUAUGCAGAAAGGUCUUUGCAUUUUAAGGGAAGAGACUUUGAUGAAGACUUUCUCCAUCUAGUCUCCAGAGAGAGGAAAUGUGGUUUUCACCUCCUGUCCCUGUGAAAGGAGCCUUGAUGAAAGCAGAUCUACUUUGGGCUGGGGGCCACCAGAGAAUGUGCAUUUUCUUUAGAACUCGGGGAAGAUGGUGGAAGGAAGCAGAAUGGGGCUGUGGUGCGGUGCUUUGCUGAAUAGCUUCCCCAGUGCAGCGUCCUGAGAAUGUCAUUUAAGUUCCUAAAGAGAGAAAAAGCCACCAGCACAUCUCAACAGAGAAAGCUGUAAAAGUGAAUAACUCCUGCAAUCUCUGUAGCAGUUUACCUGAAAUACUUGCAAUAGAAAUGGUGAGCACACCAGAAAGCCAGCGACAAAAUGAAGAUCGAGAGGAGCAGGGUACGUUUAUAAUACCAGCAGCUGCUGCAGGAGAGGCAGGGCAAAGAAAUGAAGCCUGCUCACUGUCCGUAUGGGCACUGGAACUAGACAGGGGUAGGGGCACCCAGAAAGAGAUCAGGCUGGGGGGCUGCCCAGGCCUGCCUAUGGAUGUAACUGGAUCUGUGUUUAAGUUGAGUCAGCACAGGAGCAGAGAGUGGCCCUGCGCCUUGGCAGUCCUGGAAGCCCGUGGUGUCUGCUGGUCUGAGCCCUUUGCUUUGCAGGUUCCCAUCGGCCGAUGGGAUCAAAGUUCUGGAUGUGGCUGAGAGGGAGAAUCACUGAGCCCUAGAAGGAAACCUCCUACCUGCCGGGGACUGACGAGUUGGCCAGGAUUGAAAAUCCGAACAACCAGAACCGUGACCUGAACAAGCCAAAGCAACAGCCUCAGCAACUGAUUGUUCGUGGAGAGCAUUUCUCCAGGGCCAGCUACUGUGCUAGGGCUUUAUAUCCAUUGUAUCUCUUCACCUUCAUAACAAGAUGGUGGGUAUUAUUAGCCUCUCUUUACAAGUUAAUAUUAACCUGCCCAAAGCCAUACAGGUGGCAAAUGGUUGAAGGAUGAUGAUGAUGAUGAUUGUCCUAUCAACAUUUUGUGUGCUGCCUUGGCAUCUGUUUCACGUUGGCUAAGCCUCUACUUGCCUGAAUGCUGACCUUUCGCCUAGUUAGUAAGCAGCUUUCCACCCCCACCUGCUGAGGGCAUAAACUUCCCCAGAGCUCGAAACCACAUCUGCAGCCACCACCCACACACCUUAGCCAAAACCCACAGCUGGUCCCAAUGAUAAGCCGGCCAACCCCACUGCCCUCAGCAACCCAGUCCUUUCCCCUUUCUGUGAACAUUUGCUUUAAACUAGCCGAUCCUUGGUUCCUGCAGGUAAUCUAUUAACCUCCAGCCCUGUACCGAAAAAGGUCACCAGCCCACGGGGCCCCUUGCUCUGCUUGUGUGCUCCCCACCCACUGGUUAAGUCUCCAAGCCAACUGUGCUUCCCCUCAUCUCCUCAUGGUGCCUCUUUCUUUGUGAGACCUGUGAAUAAUAAACCAUCUUCCCUCAUGUCUUAUUGUCUCGUUCUCCCCUUGUGUCUCACCUGACCUCCACCCAGGCCCAAAUUAAAAUCCAAUUUAACUAAUUCAAAACAAUGACAAUAACGAUGAUAUCUUACCUAUCGUAGUGCUUUUCUGUUUAUAGAAGGAAUCAAAACAAAUGAUUUCAAUUAAUCCUUAUAGUAUGCAUGUGAUGGAGGUAUUGUUAUAAUUUUCAUUCUUUGUGUAAGAAAAUUUGGACUGGAAACUGCUUUCAUAAAUAAUAUUUAUUAAAAUAAUAAGGCGAACUUCCUCCUUUGAAUCCAUUGCAGGUUCACCAAUUUUUAACUGUGUGACAUUAAGAAAAUUACUUAAAUUCUGUAAACCUUGGUUCCUUGUGCCAACUUCGUGGCAUAUAAGAAAUACAUGUGAUCAUCAUUGUAAAUUGUUUGGUAUUGCUAGAGUUCAAUACAUAUUAGCACUCAAGAAGCUAUCAUAAGAGUUUCAAUAUUCCUUUGACCUUUUUCAUGGGAUUUAUUUUACAAAAUUGCCAAAAACACUUUAAUAAGGUGAUUAUAUCCUUAAAACAGUACUAUGGGAUAACUAAGGACAGGCUGGAUUGAAGAUGUAUUGCUGGCUUAUGUCUUUUUUGUUUUUUAAUGUUUUCUCCUGAAUAUAUUGAUCUAAGAAAUAUAUGGGGGAAGUGGACUUGACCCAGUGGUUAGGACGUCCGUAUACGACAUGGGAGGUCUGCAGUUCAAACCCCGGGCCUCCUUGACCCGUGUGGAGCUGGCCCACGCGCAGUGCUGAUGCGUGCAAGGAGUGCUGUGCCACGCAGGGGUAUCCCCGUGUAGGGGAGCCCCAUGCACAAGGAGUGUGCCCCGUAAGGAGAGCCGCCCAGCGUGAAAUAAAGGGCAGCCUGCCCGGGAAUGGCGCUGCAAACACGGAGAGCUGACACAACAAGAUGAUGCAACAAAAAGAAAUACAGAUUCCCAUGCUGCUGAUAACAACAGAAGUGGACAAAGAUUAACACGCAGUGAAGAGACACAGAGAACAGACAACUAGGGCAGGGGUGGGGGAAAGGGGAA
rnacentral:lncRNA from 1 species